AAGUUUCCUCAUCUACAAAACAGGAGUAAUAGCUGAGCCCAUCUCACAGGGUGGAGUAAGAAUUAAAUUCUGAGCACACAGAAGGCAAUCCGGAAAUGUCAUUAUUAUCAAAGGUAAUAUGACCCAGGAAAAUCUACACAUACCCACACACCCACCCACCCACGCCCUCCUCAGAAACCAGUUUCCUUAGGAGAGAGGAGCAAGGCUACCUCCUGAAAGGUUUCUAUUGUCAUACCUUGCCAACCGGUUUGCUCUAAUCCAAGUUCCGAAGUGCCUUUUAUGAAUGGCCCAGUUUUCGAUUUGCCUUAAAUUUUAAAUUCCUUGACACCACAUAAACCCAAUAAAUUAGACAAGAGUACAGAAUACGUAAUCCUUGCGGAAGGCAUGGAGAUGGUGCGAUAAAUUUUCAUGCAGCUCUCACCUUUAUAACUUAGUCCAGACAGUGCAGAAACACCAUCACUCUCAUGGCUAACAGUUCUGCAGACUAUUGAGAUGAAGAGAGCCUGUGAGGGCCAGAGGGAUCUGCACUGACCAAAGCAUUUUCUAUUUUCCCUGCUUGACCUGAAGUCAGAUUCUAAGGAUCAGAAGGGGCCAUAGGGAGUUCCUGCUGUGCCUCAGUGGGUUAAGAACCCAACUAGUGUCUGCAAGGAGGCAGGUUCGAUCCUUGACAUCACUCAGGAGUUAAGGACCCAGUGUUGCCACAAGCUGCAGCAUAGGUCACAGAUGUGGCUAGGAUCCAAUGUGGCCAGGGCUAUGGUAUAGGUUGCAGCUGCAACUCCAGUUCAACCCCUAGCCCAGGAACUUCCAUAUGCUGCAGGGUAUGGCCCCAAAAAGACCAAAAAAAAAAAAAAAAAGACUAAAAGAGGAAAGGGAGACUCGUGGUCUAAAAUUAAUUUGAGGAUGGAAGGAAUGAAGGUGGCUCAGCAGAGCAAAUGAAGGCUUCACAGAGAAGGAAGCAUGAGGGGUGGGGCUUAAAGAGAGUUAGGAUUAAAGAGGGAGAUAGAAGCAAGGAAGGAUUUGAGCCCAGUGUGAAGGACAGCAGAAGACUGCUAGUUGUAGCACCAGGGCUGUGCCAUGAUGAGGGAGGGAGGGACACAAUGAAGAGACAUCUCUUCCGAGAGGGCGUGGGUCCCCAAGGCUCCAGGUCCAUUCCUGCCCUUCUUUAGCAACCACAAAAGACAGUGAUUUCUUUAACUAUCUGGGGAAAGACCAAACGAAGAAGCUUAAAUAUGAUCUAAGCCUAAGUCCAUGGUCUUCCCAGGAAGUUUAAAAAGGAGAACUUGAGAAAAUACUUCUGCUUCUGAGCCAUGGUGAGAAAAAUGAGAUUUCCCAGUUGUCUCAAGCAUCGAUCCACAAAUUCAGUGAAAAAGAUCUUGCCUCUUAUUUAUUUAAAAAAAAAACCCUGGAACAAGCUCUGCUUGGUCAAGGUUAAGGGAUUUUUUUUUAAGAGAUAGCUCAAUUACAAAAAUAACAUUAGUUUUGGUCUUUUGAUAGCCCACAGAAUUAAAUUUUCUAAGAAAACCCACGAUUUGGUUUUUUUAAUUUCUAGGAAUAUUACUACUUACCUCCCUUUGGUUUUAAAUAUGAUAUGAUACAGAGUAUUAUUAAUAAUAAACACUUCAUAUAUGUUAUUCCCAUUCAUCAUCAGAGAACCCUAGUAGGUAGAUAUUACAGACUGAAGCAUAGUGACAUAGUUACUUGUCCAAAGUCCUAGGGAUUGUCAGUGACAGAAUGAAGACUCAAACUUAGGUCUCUGGUGCCAAAUCCUUUGAAGGUCACCACCUGUGAAAUGCUUUCACUCCCACUGCAGUCCUAAAUCUUAUAACAGCUCAGCCAGUCAAGCUUCGUCUAUUGAAACAUAAGCAAAUACAAACAUAAGGAAGGUACAUUAAAAGCUAAAGCACAUAUUGGUUUGGGGGAGGAGGUUAGGUUUUUUUGGUUUGGGGGUUUUUUUGGACUGCACCAGUGGCGCUCGGAAGUUGCCGGACCAGGGACUGAAUUUGAGCCACAGCUGCAACCACAUUGGAUCCUUAACCCACUGCGCCAUAGCAGGAACUCCCCACAAAUUGUUUGAAAAUUCUGGAACACCCUGCUCUCUGAAAAUGGCCAACCAAAAAGCUUGACAUUUUUCAGGUUGAAAUCUUUAGUAGACGUGGUUUUUCAUGUGCCCAGCCCUGAUUCCUCACUGAGAGUCACCAUUAAUCCUUCUGGGUAACUUCACUUUAAUGGCCUUAGAGUCUUCUUUAAGCUCAUCCUUUUCCGCCCCAACUUUCUUCCUCAAAUAUGAAUGACUUUUAAAGACUUGUUCCUGCCUCAGGCACUUGACACUUGCCAUUCUCUCUGCAGGGAACUCUCUUUCCCCAAUAUCCACAUGCCUGGUUUGGCUCAUCACUCCAACCCAAAUAUCACCUCCUCCAAGGGGCCUGCUAGGAUUACACUAUGUCAUGCUACCCCCACUCAGCUCCUCAUUUGCUUCUUGUACUUUCUCUCUAGUCUUUGUCAUUAUCAGAGAUUCUUAUUCACUGGACAUGCAAACUCCACCCAACUUAAGAGAAAGAAUCAAAGUUAAUACAGAAUAAAUGAACCAGAUGCCUCACAUUUCAUAAACAAACCAUACCCUCAAGGGAAAGUUCCUCAAAGUAAAUUCAAAAUAAGGAAAGACACCAAUAUUGAAUAUUUUGCUGGCUUAUAUAGAGAAACACUCAAAGGUGAUGCACACAGAAAAUUUCUACCAAACAACAGUACAUCAACCUCUUCUUCCUGCUGUUUAACACUCUUCCCUCCGCCAAUAUUGUCCUCCGCAAUCCUUAAUGUUUCUAAAAUAACUUUUUAACUACGGCUAUGAAUUAUUUCCUACAUUGCCUCCUCUAUGAAAUAGGUUAGGUUGCAAAAAUCAGCUAAGAAAAGAUUGCUAAUUAAGCUAUCCAACAUAGAGUACAUCUUCCCUUCCUGAAAACUUUGAGCAAUCUUCCCAACAGAUUCCUC
rnacentral:lncRNA from 1 species